GUAUAGUACACCCCAUAGCAUAGUAUGACUGGCAGAAACCAGAGAAGGCAAAAGUAGAGAAAACACUAAACAAUGAUCCCAUUCCCACAUCUGUACGUGACUGAGUAAGCAGUACAUAAUCACAUUAAACCCUUGCUAAAAUCAUGGUCAGCAAAUUGAAUAAAAUAAAACAUACAAAUGGCAGGAAAUGCAGUUUGUCCCAUCUCCAAGAACUCUAUGAUGCCGUCCCAGGUGCCUUCACUCCAACAACUCCGUCCCAGGUGCCUUCACUGCGACAACUCCAUCCCAGGUGCCUUCACUGCGACAACUCCAUCCCAGGUGCCUUCACUCCAACAACUCCAUCCCAGGUGCCUUCACUGCGACAACUCCGUCCCAGGUGCCUUCACCUUCACUCCGAUAACUCCGUCCCAGGUGCCUUCACUGCGACAACUCCAUCCCAGGUGCCUUCAACUUCACUCCAACAACUCCGUCCCAGGUGCCUUCACCUUCACUCCGAUAACUCCGUCCCAGGUGCCUUCACUCCGACAACUCCGUCCCAGGUGCCUUCACUCCGACCUAGGUGCCUUCACUCUGACAACUCCAUCCCAGGUGCCUUCACUCUGACAACUCCAUCCCAGGUGCCUUCACUCCGACCUAGGUGCCUUCACUCUGACAACUCCAUCCCAGGUGCCUUCACUCCGACCUAGGUGCCUUCACUCUGACAACUCCAUCCCAGGUGCCUUCACUCCGACAACUCCAUCCCAGAUGCCUUCACUCCGACAACUCCAUCCCAGGUGCCUUCACUCCGACAACUCCAUCCCAGGUGCCUUCACUGCGACAACUCCGUAACAG
ensembl:lncRNA